rnacentral:rRNA from 1 species
CCUACGGGAGGCAGCAGUGAGGAAUAUUGGUCAAUGGACGAGAGUCUGAACCAGCCAAGUCGCGUGAAGGAUGACUGCCCUAUGGGUUGUAAACCUCUUUUAUCGGGGAAUAAAAUGUUCCACGUGUGGCAUUUUGUGUGUACCCUAUGAAUAAGGAUCGGCUAACUCCGUGCCAGCAGCCGCGGUAAUACGGAGGAUUCGAGCGUUAUCCGGAUUUAUUGGGUUUAAAGGGUGCGGAGGCGGAGUGGUAAGUCAGCGGUGAAAGUUUGCGGCUCAACCGUAUAAUUGCAGUUGAAACUGGAAGUCUUGAGUACAGGAGAGGUAAGCGGAAUGCGUGGUGUAGCGGUGAAAUGCAUAGAUAUCACGAAGAACUCCGAUUGCGAAGGCAGCACACUGGCGUGCAACUGACACUGAGGCUCGAAAGUGUGGGUAUCGAACAGGAUUAGAUACCCGAGUAGUC